AUCUAUAAUUUCUUUCCUAGUGUCAUAUAUUGUUUAGUUUAAUAUUUCAUCAAAUUAUUAAAUUGAUAUAAAUCCUUCAAAUUUAGUCAACACACAGGAUUGAAAAACUAACUUUUAUUUGUAUUUUAUUCAUGCAGGUUAAUCGCAAACUAGGAGUUUCACCUGGAGGACACACAUUAAAACUUGUAACCUACAGGGACAUGAUCGCACAUGCAAGGAAAGCUAUUCCUAUUAUACAUCAAGCAAAACGACGAAGACUCCUACUCAAACAAAAAGGGCCAUGAAGAGAGUGACACAUGAAGUAAGAGAAGGACCAAGUUAUGACACAGACAUUGAACUGAAAGUUCCCACAGUAAGCUGCCAAAAGAAAUGAUGAAAAUUUUGCUGUCUAUGUAAUACCAAAGACUCCGAUGUCUGAAAGGGCUUCACAAAUUACAGGCAUUACUGUAAGAGGGAGAAUGAUGUAUGUCAAUUCAGAGCCAGUUCAAACAAACAAUAUAUGCACAGCGUUGCAUGAAUUCAUCACUUUCAUUAAUAAAAGUGAAAACAGUGUAUUAUAUGCACACAACUGCAAAAGUUUUGACAAUCGGGUGUUAACUAAUAUAAUCCUUUAAUUGCAUGUGGUCUUUUUCAACUGUUUCAGACAAAGGUGUUGGGUUUUGUUGAUACUUACCUUUUAUUAGUCCCCUACUGGUUGAAAACCAGUUUCGGGGACUAUAGGAAUGCGCUUUUCCGUCAUUCUGUCAUUCCGUCCAUGUGUCUGGCCCAUAACUCUG
rnacentral:lncRNA from 1 species